GGUGGGGUAAUGGCCUACCAAGACUUUGAUGGGUGGCGGGUGUGAGAGCACGACCCGCGUCACUGGGACUGAGACACUGCCCAGACACCUACGGGUGGCUGCAGUCGAGAAUCUUCGGCAAUGGGCGAAAGCCUGACCGAGCGACGCCGCGUGCGGGAUGAAGGCCUUCGGGUUGUAAACCGCUGUCAAUGGGGAGGAAGGCUGCGUGAAGAGCGCAGUUUGACCUAUCUUUGGAGGAAGGACGGGCUAAGUUCGUGCCAGCAGCCGCGGUAAGACGAACCGUCCAAACGUUAUUCGGAAUUACUGGGCUUAAAGGGUGCGUAGGCGGUGCUACAAGUCGGGUGUGAAAUCCCUCAGCUUAACUGAGGAACUGCGCCCGAAACUGUAGUGCUGGAGUGAGGCAGGGGUGAGCGGAACUGAUGGUGGAGCGGUGAAAUGUGUUGAUAUCAUCAGGAACACCGGUGGCGAAGGCGGCUCACUGGGCCUUUACUGACGCUGAGGCACGAAAGCUAGGGGAGCAAACGGGAUUAGAUACCCCGGUAGUCCUAGCUGUAAACGAUGA
rnacentral:rRNA from 1 species